GACGAAUGCUGGCGGCGUGCUUAACACAUGCAAGUCGAACGAGAGCGUAGAGAAAGCUUGCUUUUUCUACAAUCUAGUGGCAAACGGGUGAGUAACGCGUAAACAACCUGCCCUACGGAUGGGGACAACAGCUGGAAACGGCUGCUAAUACCGAAUACGUUCCGAAAGUCGCAUGACUAUCGGAAGAAAGGAUGGCCUCUAUUUAUAAGCUAUCGCCGGAGGAGGGGUUUGCGUCUGAUUAGCUAGUUGGAGGGGUAACGGCCCACCAAGGCGACGAUCAGUAGCCGGUCUGAGAGGAUGAACGGCCACAUUGGAACUGAGACACGGUCCAGACUCCUACGGGAGGCAGCAGUGGGGAAUCUUCCGCAAUGGGCGAAAGCCUGACGGAGCAACGCCGCGUGAGUGAAGACGGCCUUCGGGUUGUAAAGCUCUGUUAUACGGGACGAAUAAUCUUGUGGUUAAUACCCAUGAGAAGUGACGGUACCGUAAGAGAAAGCCACGGCUAACUACGUG
rnacentral:rRNA from 1 species